CGCUUUCUGAUGCAACAUGAGACAUGGACUUCUGGACAUAAAAAAAAAAAACCCAGCCAUCUGAGAAUGAGAAGUGGUUCUGUGGCAGUUUUAACAAUUGUGGAGUUGGAUGUGGAAAAGUACAAAAUGAUCAAAUAAAUUGCCCGGGAGGUGUUGAAGCAACACUGCAUCUAUUACAUCUCAAUUAGAAAAUGCUUGCUGUAUGAGCAAUGCUUUCCUGAAAUUACUAUGUGAAUUGUUGUACCUAGCUGUUGGGAGGAGUCAUCUGGGUUAUAAAGGAGCGCACACUGCAGCAUGAACAUACCAGAUUACAGGGAAACUCAGCUUCUUACUGCCAGAAACCACACUGACGAAUCAUGUCUGGCUUUCUGGACAAAGCACAGCAAAAAGCCCAACAGACAGCCCAGGAAACAGUCAAACAAGGAGAACAAGUAGUCCAGGACUGUGUUGAUAAAGGCAAAGAAGCAGGUCAAGAAGUGAUUGACCAAGGAUGUCAAGCUGCUCAAAAGACGUGUGACCAAGUGAGUGGACAGAUCAAAGACAAGAUCCCUGGUGGCUGGUCAAAAUAACUAAGAAAUAAUAAACCCUUAAGGAAAAUAUAGGUUAUUGACUUAACUGAAAGUAAUCUAUUCCAACUAAUAAAUACUGUAUGUUGUUUGUCAUGAAGCAUUUUAUUAUACGAGCAAGUUGGUAUGCAUAAAACUACUUACAUGAUCCUA